AUUUCCCCAAAAGAAUGUUCAACAAAUUAAAAUAGGUUCCAUAUUUCCCCUCUUGGCAAAGAAAAAGUAAUAGCAUUGCCUCAUGUUCCUUCACUGAGGAAAUGUAAAAAACGCGUUUGGACCUGCAGUUAUUGUCAAACAGUAAUCCCCGAGUUUGCCUCUACAGUCAUUCCGUCGGCCCCUGAAGAGGUUACCAUGGAGACAGUGGAGGGGAGGAAAAAGGGGUCCUCCUGACACGGAGCAGAACUUGGUAAUUGGCAGAUUAUCAGAAGACCGAGGUUAUUCCUCCAGAAGACUCUCAGCACACACUCGUUAUUUCCACCACACACUCCCUCCAGCCGGAAGGCCAAAACAACAACAACAACAACACCAACAAAGGCCGGAACGACAACAAUAAAUACCGUUAAAUACAGCGAGGAGAAAAUAGUGGGUCAUCAACCUCUUUCCCGUUCUCCCGUAAUCGCUUUACUGGACGGUGGGGGGGGGGGGUGUUGUGUUUUGCUCGGGGGACAGAUCCCUGCAGGCGGCGGGAACCGACACGAUGGAGAAGACGCAGCUCUGGCAGGCGGGAUUCUUCUACCAAGCUACAGGGAGGAGAAUGAUGCACGUGAAGGGCCACACCUGAAGAACCUCGGGGACAGAGGCAGGUGAUCCUCAGUGCAAACUGAAACGACAAGGCGUGCACUCAUGUCAACGAGCCGGUCAAAUUUCAUGUGGACACCAAACGCACGGCCAUGCUUCAGCAACGGCGUGAAGUCCAUGACCUCAUCAAAGUGAUGCAGAGUACCGCAGUUCAUCUUCGUCGUCAGAGACGACGAUUCAGUUUGCUGCUUUUAGUGUUUCCUAAUUUUCUUUCUGCUUCUUAACCAGCUUAACCCCAUUAAAUAGCUAUUUAAAGUAAAUGUUUGUGAUGGCAAGUUUAGAUUUCCACCCUAAUUCCAUACCAUAUAACUGACGUAAUGACCAUUAUAUUUUGUCUACACUUCGUAUGUCUCUUCAAGAUGCACAACCUGAUGGCAACGAUGCAGAACUGGAGCCUCAAUAAUCCAGUAGAUCACCGGCUCACAGACAUCCGACAGCUGGAAGAUCGGCAAGCAUUCAGACAUCCCGUGAAAUUGAAUCAUUGUUGUGCCACAGGGCACGUUACCCAAGUGUGAACUUUGGUUUUGGAGAUCAACGGUUUCGAUCUUCUAAUAGAGAAUGCAACUGCCCCAACGCAUACAUGCUUGCAGCCAUUGCAAUUUUGCUGCUGUUUCAUUUUAUGCUAUGGUUUUAAUGAAUGUUUUGCAUGUGAAUCUUUAGCAUUAUACUUUGAGAGAUGAGUGGAACAACCAAGUCCUGUGGAAAUAACUUACUUACUUAGUUGAGUCUGUUGAACAUGUGGCUUUCGAUGAACAAACCUUUGAGUGAGUUAAAGAGCUCGCCGCUUAAACCCGAGAAGAGAUUCUUCGCUGCUUGCCACGUUAAGCAAACAAUGGAGUUGCUGGCAGGCAUGAAGACUUCAGGAGAAAAGUCAUUUAAAAAGGUGUUUUAGAGUGUCUGCCAUCCAGGCUGUUUAGAGGAGCAGGGAGGGAAAAUGGACAUCAGCUUGUGAUUCAGCAGCAGCCAAACCUCACCAAACACGGCGGAGAGGGACGUAAUCCAGAUGCUAUUACUGCUGAACUGGCACUUUUUUGCCAGGACGCAGGGGUUUCCCAAACCUUUCCUGGGGGAGGGGGGGACCAAAUCAACAGGUGUUCCCACCAGUGAGGCAGCAGCGCAUGUCAGGCAAUGCAAAAGGAUUGAAAGACGUUAUAGGUGUGCACGUUUCUUUACCAAUACAAGCUGAAUGGGGGUCAACGACACGGCUGCAAAAGGGUUGCAAAAGGACAGUAACGUGCAAGAAAUACUAAUUAAGAAAAUUCAGCGUUUCAAAUUUGUGCAAUAUAAUACAUUUUGUCCCUGAUUUAUCCCGUGGGAUAACAGCCGUAUCACUUUAGCAAAAUAAAUAAACACCACAAUUAAAAAAACGCCUCUGUGCUCCGACUCCGUUCUCAAGGGAACGUUCCUCAUAUUUUUAAAUAUUUGAAAAAUCAUGUCUGUUUUGAUUCUGAAUUGAUGUUGUAUAGCAGAGCUUUAUUUAUUUGAGGUAUUUCACUACUUUUAUUCAUGCCUAUUCUAUUUAAAGACCCAGAGUCUGAACUUCCUAAAUCCCUGGACAUUAUGCAUUACAUUACAUUACAGGUCAUUUAUGCACACUGCUAUUGUAGGGUCCUGUGUUAAUACACCAAAAGCCUGUAAAUAAAGACAGUGAAAACAAGCCGUGUGUCGUUUGUGGUUAGGACAAAUAUCCUGUGGUCAUCUGACGAUACGUUUUUCUGUGGGUGUCGAAGCCACACAGCUGUUAACAGGUGCUCACUGCAGCCACAUCCGCUAACAACUUAACAAUAAGUACUGUGCGUGUAAUGGCCGGCCUCUCCACCGCGUGAUUCUGUUAAAUGGACUAUGAUGCAUUUCUCCAAAUGGGGUUUCAUCCACGUGCACUCACUCACCUUCUGCAAACUAUUAAGGACGAGCAGACACACACACACACACACA
ensembl:lncRNA